rnacentral:sRNA from 1 species
CUUACCUCUUUGAUCUCGACAAUAAGCAGCCACCAGACCACGGAAUAAAUCUUAUACCUGGAGAAUAGGGCACCAGGCAGCCGUCUUCAUAGCAGUGGCC